rnacentral:rRNA from 1 species
AGAGGCUCAAGUUGAUAAUCUCCGGCGUAAAGAGUGGUUAAGAAAACUAACACUAAAGCCGAACAUCUUCAAGGCUGUCAUACGCACCCGAAGACAUGAAGAACCCCUACGAAAGUAGCUUUAAAACUUCUGAACCCACGAAAGCCAGGGCACAAACUGGGAUUAGAUACCCCACUAUGCCUGGCCCUAAACACAAGCAGCUACCUCACACCUGCUGCUCGCCCGGGAACUACGAGCAAAAGCUUAAAACCCAAAGGACUUGGCGGUGCUUUAGAUCCACCUAGAGGAGCCUGUUCUAGAACCGAUAACCCCCGUUCAACCUCACCCUUCCUUGUCUUCCCCGCCUAUAUACCGCCGUCGUCAGCUUACCCUGUGAAGGACACAUAGUAAGCAAAAUUGGCAUAGCCCAAAACGUCAGGUCGAGGUGUAGCGCAUGGAGGGGGAAGAAAUGGGCUACAUUCACUGACACAGUACAUACGAAUGAUGCAUUGAAACCAAACAUCUGAAGGAGGAUUUAGCAGUAAGAAGGAAAACAGAGCGUUCCCCUGAAACUGGCCCUGAAGCGCGCACACACCGCCCGUCACUCUCCCCAAACUUUAAAACAGCCCAUAAAUAAGACACUAAGAUCAAAAAGGGGAGGCAAGUCGUAACAUGGUAAGUGUACCGGAAGGUGCACUUGGAAAAAUCAGAGCGUAGCUAAA